rnacentral:rRNA from 1 species
UGCAACCAUAUUGUUAUAAACUCGGAUAACAUGGGCCUGAUUGAAACCAUGAACAACGGAGGACGGACGGCAAGUACAACGGUGACAGUGUUUGACGAUUGUUACUUUUUGGCUUGUGAUUUUCUCAUUACUAAAUUCGAGCACUGUAAUACAGAAGCAAAUAAAGUUGCCCAUGAACUUGCUAAGUUAGCUAAAAAAAAUUCAACCUUUGACUGGUUUGAGAAGCCUUUGAGUGAAAUUGUAUCCCUCAUAAAUCGAUGUAAUUGUUAUUGA